UACGUAGGGUGCAAGCGUUGUCCGGAAUUAUUGGGCGUAAAGAGCUCGUAGGCGGUCUGUCACGUCGGCUGUGAAAACCCGGGGCUCAACCCCGGGCCUGCAGUCGAUACGGGCAGACUAGAGUGCGGUAGGGGAGAUUGGAAUUCCUGGUGUAGCGGUGGAAUGCGCAGAUAUCAGGAGGAACACCGAUGGCGAAGGCAGAUCUCUGGGCCGUAACUGACGCUGAGGAGCGAAAGCAUGGGGAGCGAACAGG
rnacentral:rRNA from 1 species